CUCCAUCCCCAUCAUAGGACAGCAGGCCUGUUUACCGGCUUUCCUCCCCAAGUCACUACACAUCCUGUCUCACUGGAGUAUUCUUUUGUCUGUAGCUGUCUCGAAGCCAGGUACAAAGGCAUUCCCCUGGUGUGAGGCCAGGCAUGGGCACUCCUGCUAGACACUGACAAAGUCAAGUCCCAGAACCCAGGAAAUACAAGGUCAUGAAGGAGAAGGGCAAGAGGUACUCCAGGAUCACCCACCGCAUCAAGGCAGAUGUCAGCCACACCCUGCAGAAUCACAUGAUGUUUAGAGUAUUCCCGGGCAGCAAUAUUCCUGGGCCAUGUGCCCAUACUCACAGGCAUAGGUGCCUCUCGGGGGUUUCAGCACUUCUUGAAAAUUCAGUGUUUGUGACCCACCAGGACGUAGUAGGCAGGACUCAAGCUCACUUGCCAGCAUGGACACCCAAGCAAGGGGGCGGCUCAAGGGGUCAAACUGAGACAGAAAAGGGUUGAAGCCCAGACUCCUGGUGUCACCUGGACCCGACCACCAUGUCUCAGAUGAAGAAAUGACCUUCCCCUCCUGGCAUUGCCCCCAAAGCCCAGGAGCUUGGCAGGGGCGCAUGCAGAUGGUCCUGGCAGGAGACAGGUUUGACAAGUGGCUGGGGUGCCUGAUGGGCCAGGCUCUUGUCAUGAAAUGAGUUGGCAUCCUGAGGAAGCCUCUUCUUCACCAGAAACCAGACAGAGAUCCAAUUUCCCCUUUUCCUGAACCCCGUAGGAGUGCAGCAGACAGGGAGGGGGUCACCCAGGUGGCUGUUCCUGCUCGGCCCCCACUUUCCAGACCAUUCCAGGCAGGGAGAGCUGCUGAGCCGACUCCAUGGGCUGCCACAUGGGGUCUGGACCCAGCCGCCCUCCUGUGCCGGGCAGGCAGCCCUUGAGUGGUCGCAGGACCCUUUGUGUGGUGGUCAGCACCCUGCCGCCUGCCCUCAUGGUGGGUGCACUUCACAGGUGAUGCUCCGGGCCUGGCAUAGUGGCCUCCCCAGCCUGCCUAGGGGAAGGAGCAUAAACAAUCCCUGACUGUGCCCUUUAGGGCCAUUUGAGCUUAGACACUCACUGCAGGAGUCCCCCAGGCUCUUUGUCAGCUGAGUCAUACGUGACCUGCUCAGUCCUCAUGCCCACCCCAAAUCCCCGGGGGCCUGUGGCAGGUGUCCCCAAGGAUCUCUGCCAUCUCUGGUGAUGUGAGUCUUCCCAGGUGGCCUCAGCCCUCCCAGGUGACAUCCUUCCACGGUGACUCUGGCUCUUGCAGGAGGUGGGCUACCACAGGGACCUGAGCCGCAUCACUGCUGUCCUCCUUUAUCUGCCGGAGGAAGAUGCUUUCUGGGUGCUGGCUCAGCUGCUGGCCGGUGAGAGGCACUCCCUGCAGGUAUUCCACAGCCCAAAUACUGCCCAGCUCCGGAAGCUCCUAUCACAUCAGGAGCAGGUGCUGCACAAGUCCUUCCCAAAGAUCAUGAGACAGCUGGUGAGUGGAUGACACCCUUUGCUCCUCCCCAUAGGCCCUGGGCCCCACAGGCCAGGGGAGGCUGUAGUCUCUCACAGAGCUGACAAGAGGCCAAGUCCCAACCACAGCCUGACCUGGGAUGGGGAUUCUCCAAGGGUUCGGAGUUGGGUUUCCUUUUCCUGCCCUGGCGGAGGCAGAAGGGCUGGGACCAGGGCCAAGCUCUGGCUAAGCAGGGCUAAGGGAAGUAUGUCCACUGGGCACCCGUGCAUGGGGCAGGUGUUGGAGCCCUGGCCACCGCCCUGGAUUCUGUUCCUUGAGGAAGGGUCUACAGAGGGGCCUGGAAGUGGGAGGACUUCAGGGCAGCCCAAGGGGCCCUGAGCACCUCUGCUCCUCCCUUCAGGGCAAGGAAGGGCUAUGCAUUGAGGGUUCCAUGCUGACGAGGCUCCUCUGGUGUUUCCUUGAUGGGGUAAGGAGGCACAGGGAGACCCCAGCCCAGGGACCCUCCUGUCCCGCAGUGCCCGGCACCCCCAGCCCAGGGGUCGAGCUCCGCCAGGAGGACUCAGAUCCCCUCCAGCCUGCAGGAGGCACAGGCAGUUCCCUACAGGGCACAUAAACCAGGCUCUGCCUGAGAGGGGGCAUCCCAUGGCAGAGGCCAGGGCUCAGGCCCAGCCUCAUGGGGA